rnacentral:rRNA from 1 species
UACGGAGGGUGCAAGCGUUGUCCGGAUUUAUUGGGUUUAAAGGGUGCGUAGGCGGCUAAUUAAGUCAGCGGUGAAAUUCUACAGCUUAACUGUAAGAACUGCCAUUGAUACUGGUUGGCUUGAGUACAGAUGAGGUAGGCGGAAUUGACAGUGUAGCGGUGAAAUGCUUAGAUAUUGUCAAGAACACCUAUUGCGAAGGCAGCUUACUAAACUGUAACUGACGCUGAGGCACGAAAGCGUGGGGAUCAAACAGG